CAUCCACGUGGAUGAGCCCCGAAGGAGAGGUGGGCGAGAUCCCGGAGUAUAGAAAGAUCUGUGAGACGAUGAAAAUAAAGCGCGUAAUAGCUGUGGACUACAUUCAAAGGACAAGAAACCCAAGAUGCAAUGCACAAUGCAUGUAACAGUCUCACGACCACUUGCCCACCAACAACAGCAGUGACUGGCAAAGGAUAACAAGUCAAAUAAAAAUAAGAAAACUGUA